GACGAACGCUGGCGGCGUGCCUAAUACAUGCAAGUUGAGCGAUGAAGCUUGGUGCUUGCCCCAAUUUGAAGAGCAGCGAACGGGUGAGUAACGCGUGGGGAAUCUGCCUUUGAGCGGGGGACAACAUUUGGAAACGAAUGCUAAUACCGCAUAACAACUUUAAACAUAAGUUUUAAGUUUGAAAGAUGCAAUUGCAUCACUCAAAGAUGAUCCCGCGUUGUAUUAGCUAGUUGGUGAGGUAAAGGCUCACCAAGGCGAUGAUACAUAGCCGACCUGAGAGGGGGAUAGGCCACAGUGGGACUGAGACACGGCCCAAACUCCUACGGGAGGCAGCAGUAGGGAAUCUUCGGCAAUGGACGAAAGUCUGACCGAGCAACGCCGCGUGAGUGAAGAAGGUUUUCGGAUCGUAAAACUCUGUUGGUAGAGAAGAACGUUGGUGAGAGUGGAAAGCUCAUCAAGUGACGGUAACUACCCAGAAAGGGACGGCUAACUACGUG
rnacentral:rRNA from 1 species